AGGCCGAUGCCCGAGGCACCACAAGAAACACUGUUGGUAGAGCGCCAAAUUUCGGAGUGCAGGGGACAAGCCGAGUGUGUUUUGUCCUCUUUAACAACAACACCAAUAUGGCAAUGACUAACAUGGGCCCUUGAGGGAAGAAGAAGAACACUGAGGAAUAUUUGGAGGCGCACUUUGGAACCCAGGUAGGGUUUGGAGGUUCAGAUGGAGGGCACGAGUAUUGACAUACAUACCUUGGUGCCUGUGGACAACACCCACCUGUUCUGGUGUCUUAUACAGAAAGGAAUGCAGUGCUUUUCUCACACGCAACUUGUUAUACUACAUGAAACGGUGGUCUGAUGGGGCAAAAGAUGUACAUAAUGGACUUCAGACUAAUAUAAGAGGAGGACUUUAUGAGGGAACAGUCACCAGACUGACUUUGUGAAAAGCCAACAUCAGGUAGGGAUCGAAACCCAUGACAUUGCUGUAUGUGCUGUGCAUGUACAUGUGAAAAUAAUAUUGCUUGUGGCAUGGCGGUUCAGACAUAAACACAUGGCUUCAGUCUGCAGUAUUGACAUGACUUCAUGAGCAACCAGUGAUAUAUUUAUUAUGUGUGGCCCUGUUAGAGUAUUACUCCUGGCAACAUAAUCAAACCCUUAAGCUUGGGUUUGUUGUACCAACAUUUUACAGUGCUCUUGUAAGGCAGCAGAUAGAGCAGUGUUUUUCAACCUUUUUUGAGCCAUGGUAUAUUUUUUACAUUAACAAAAUCCUGCGGCACACCACCAACCAAAAUGUAACAAAAUUACACACUG